GAUAAACGCUGGCGGCGCACAUAAGACAUGCAAGUCGAACGGACUUAACUCGAAGUUUACUUUGAGAGCGGUUAGUGGCGGACUGGUGAGUAACACGUAAGCAACCUGCCUAUCAGAGGGGAAUAACAGUGAGAAAUCAUUGCUAAUACCGCAUAUGCUCACAGUAUCACAUGAUACAGAGGGAAAAGGAGCAAUUCGCUCUGGGAUGGACUCGCGUCCGAUUAGCUGGAUGGUGAGGUAACGGCCCACCAUGGCGACGAUCGGUAGCCGGACUGAGAGGUUGAUCGGCCACAUUGGGACUGAGACACGGCCCAG
rnacentral:rRNA from 1 species